GUCGAGAAUUUUUCACAAUGGGCGCAAGCCUGAUGGAGCGACGCCGCGUGGGGGAUGAAGGGCUUCGGCCCGUAAACCCCUGUCAUUUGCGAACAACCCUCUCACGAUAAUACCGGGAGAGCUGAUUGUAGCGAAAGAGGAAGGGACGGCUAACUCUGUGCCAGCAGCCGCGGUAAUACAGAGGUCCCAAGCGUUGUUCGGAUUCACUGGGCGUAAAGGGUGCGUAGGUGGUGAGGCAAGUCUGAUGUGAAAGCUCUGAGCUCAACUCAGAAAUGGCAUUGGAAACUGCCUUGCUAGAGGAUUGGAGGGGGGACUGGAAUUCUCGGUGUAGCAGUGAAAUGCGUAGAGAUCGAGAGGAACACCAGUGGCGAAGGCGAGUCCCUGGACAAUUCCUGACGCUGAGGCACGAAAGCUAGGGGAGCAAACAGGAUUAGAUACCCUAGUAGUCC
rnacentral:rRNA from 1 species